rnacentral:rRNA from 1 species
UACGUAGGGUGCGAGCGUUGUCCGGAAUUACUGGGCGUAAAGAGCUCGUAGGUGGUUUGUCGCGUUGUUCGUGAAAACUCACAGCUCAACUGUGGGCGUGCGGGCGAUACGGGCAGACUGGAGUACUGCAGGGGAGACUGGAAUUCCUGGUGUAGCGGUGGAAUGCGCAGAUAUCAGGAGGAACACCGGUGGCAAAGGCGGGUCUCUGGGCAGUAACUGACGCUGAGGAGCGAAAGCGUGGGGAGCGAACAGG